rnacentral:rRNA from 1 species
CUAAACAUGCAAGUCGAGCGGACAGAUGGGAGCUUGCUCCCUGAUGUUAGCGGCGGACGGGUGAGUAACACGUGGGUAACCUGCCUGUAAGACUGGGAUAACUCCGGGAAACCGGGGCUAAUACCGGAUGGUUGUUUGAACCGCAUGGUUCAGACAUAAAAGGUGGCUUCGGCUACCACUUACAGAUGGACCCGCGGCGCAUUAGCUAGUUGGUGAGGUAACGGCUCACCAAGGCAACGAUGCGUAGCCGACCUGAGAGGGUGAUCGGCCACACUGGGACUGAGACACGGCCCAGACUCCUACGGGAGGCAGCAGUAGGGAAUCUUCCGCAAUGGACGAAAGUCUGACGGAGCAACGCCGCGUGAGUGAUGAAGGUUUUCGGAUCGUAAAGCUCUGUUGUUAGGGAAGAACAAGUGCCGUUCAAAUAGGGCGGCACCUUGACGGUACCUAACCAGAAAGCCACGGCUAACUACGUGCCAGCAGCCGCGGUAAUACGUAGGUGGCAAGCGUUGUCCGGAAUUAUUGGGCGUAAAGGGCUCGCAGGCGGUUUCUUAAGUCUGAUGUGAAAGCCCCCGGCUCAACCGGGGAGGGUCAUUGGAAACUGGGGAACUUGAGUGCAGAAGAGGAGAGUGGAAUUCCACGUGUAGCGGUGAAAUGCGUAGAGAUGUGGAGGAACACCAGUGGCGAAGGCGACUCUCUGGUCUGUAACUGACGCUGAGGAGCGAAAGCGUGGGGAGCGAACAGGAUUAGAUACCCUGGUAGUCCACGCCGUAAACGAUGAGUGCUAAGUGUUAGGGGGUUUCCGCCCCUUAGUGCUGCAGCUAACGCAUUAAGCACUCCGCCUGGGGAGUACGGUCGCAAGACUGAAACUCAAAGGAAUUGACGGGGGCCCGCACAAGCGGUGGAGCAUGUGGUUUAAUUCGAAGCAACGCGAAGAACCUUACCAGGUCUUGACAUCCUCUGACAUCCUAGAGAUAGGACGUCCCCUUCGGGGCAGAGUGACAGGUGGUGCAUGGUUGUCGUCAGCUCGUGUCGUGAGAUGUUGGGUUAGUCCCGCAACGAGCGCACCCUUGAUCUUAGUUGCCAGCAUUCAUUGGGCCUCUAAGUGACUGCCGGUGACAACCGGAGAAAGGGGGGGAGACGUCAAACAUCAGCCCCUAUGACUGGG